rnacentral:misc_RNA from 1 species
GAUGAAGAACGCAGCGAAAUGUGAUAAGUAAUGUGAAUUGCAGAAUUCAGUGAAUCAUCGAAUCUUUGAACGCACAUUGCGCCCCUUGGUAUUCCGAGGGGCAUGCCUGUUCGAGCGUCAUAUUAACCACUCCCGCUUGCGGGGUCUUGGGCUUCGCCUCCGGGCGGGCCUUAAAAUCAGUGGCGGUGCCGUCGGGCUCUACGCGUAGUAAAUUUUCUCGCGAUAGGGUCCCGGUGGAUGCUUGCCAACAACCCCCAACUUCUUAAGGUUGACCUCGGAUCAGGUAGGGAUACCCGCUGAACUUAAGCAUAUCAAUAAGCGGAGGA